CGGACGGGUGAGUAAUGUCUGGGAAACUGCCCGAUGGAGGGGGAUAACUACUGGAAACGGUAGCUAAUACCGCAUAACGUCGCAAGACCAAAGAGGGGACCUUCGGGCCUCUCGCCAUCGGAUGUGCCCAGAUGGGAUUAGCUAGUAGGUGGGGUAACGGCUCACCUAGGCGACGAUCCCUAGCUGGUCUGAGAGGAUGACCAGCCACACUGGAACUGAGACACGGUCCAG
rnacentral:rRNA from 1 species